GCCCCUUCGUCCCCGGUGCCCGGGCGCCCCGCGCCAGCCCCUACCCCUGCCCCGGUCCCCCAGCGGCGGCUGGAGAGGAGAAAGACCGAAACCCACCCCUACCACCCCCCGAGUUGCGGCUCUGCUGAUGAUUUCUGGGAAGUGCUGGAAAUAUGGCCGUAGAAAAAGAAUGGCGUCCAUUUACAUAAUGCUUUGUUUGCAUUUUGCAAGUUUCUUUCGGUUGAACCUGCAGAAACCCCACCUCCUAGUGUCGUUUUAGUCGUGGCAGUUUUGUCAGAUAUUUAAGACAAUGGUGUGCCAAGUAGUGCUGUGGGGGGGGUUCUUCCGAUUUUCCCCACGCCGUUUAAGCCCCGCUUCUGCCUUUUCUCCCGUUUCCCCCUUGGUGCAGACGCCGCGCCCCGCUCUUCGGGGGCGGCCCCUCUCGAGCCCCGCCAUCUUGGAAGGCCUUUCUUGCCGGUUCGCCACUGCACGUUCCUCUCACUAAAGAAAGGUCGCUUGCGUGCCUCCUACGAAUUCACUUAGGCCCAGAGAGAUGAAGUGACUAAUUCAAGGUCACACUAUGGCGGAUGGAAUCCAGACCUUCUGAUUUCCUUAUUGACCUGCAGUAUCUUGUGGAUAUAUGAGUGAAUUCCACACCACCCAUUUUACAGAUGAAGCCACUGAGAUAUGGAACAAUUGACUAAACAGUCACUGCCCCACCCCUGGAGCCUCCUACAUGACUCUUCUCCCAUUUGAAUGACUGCAGAUAGGCUCCACACCCAGCAUGGGACUUGAACUCACAACCCUGAGUUCAAGAGUUGCAUGCUGUACCAACUGAGCCCGCCAGGCACUCCGUCCAGUGCUCUUGUUUCUUACCAUUAUACUGUACCACCAUCAUGGAUUGAAGGGAAGAGAUUGGGCAUGAACUGUAUUUUGUCCAACUUGAGAGAAUGAUAGACUCUUGGAGCUGGAAAGGGCCUUUGCGGUAAUAGUCAAUCUCCUUGUCUCCUGUCUGCCAUCCAGUUACAGGAAUGCUUUCCAUUAUCCCCCUGACAGAUGAUCACCCAAGUUCUUUUUGAAUGUUUCCAUUGCUGGGGAGCUCAUCACUUCUUGAGGAAUCCCAUUAUAUGUUGAAUAGCUCUCUUUGGUGAAAAGUGGUCUUGUCACUAUAAUAUGGUAGUUGAGAAUGUGACUCUGAUAGAUGUGAUGUGAUAUAGUAUGUGACUCUGGAGCCAGCCUGCAGGGGCCUGAAUUCUGACUCAGCCACUUACUGUGUGACCUUGGAGGGAGAUACAUAGAGGAAAGACAUCCGUGUGAAGAUGGAAGCAGAGAUUGGAGUUGUGCUGCCACAAACCAAGGAAUGUCAAGAAUUGGCAACCACCAGAAGCUGGA